rnacentral:rRNA from 1 species
AACGAACGCUGGCGGCAGGCUUAACACAUGCAAGUCGAGCGCCCCGCAAGGGGAGCGGCAGACGGGUGAGUAACACGUGGGAAUCUACCCACCCCUGCGGAACAACUCCGGGAAACUGGAGCUAAUACCGCAUACGCCCUUCGGGGGAAAGAUUUAUCGGGGAUGGAUGAGCCCGCGUUGGAUUAGCUAGUUGGUGGGGUAAAGGCCUACCAAGGCGACGAUCCAUAGCUGGUCUGAGAGGAUGAUCAGCCACAUUGGGACUGAGACACAGCCCAAACUCCUACGGGAGGCAGCAGUGGGGAAUAUUGGACAAUGGGCGCAAGCCUGAUCCAGCCAUGCCGCGUGAGUGAUGAAGGCCUUAGGGUUGUAAAGCUCUUUCACCGAUGAAGAUAAUGACGGUAGUCGGAGAAGAAGCCCCGGCUAACUUCGUGCCAGCAGCCGCCGUAACAC